CUUCCGUAGGUGAACCUGCGGAAGGAUCAUUGUUGUGACCCUGACCAAAACAGACUGCGCACACAUCAUCCAAUCCGCCGGUGACGGCAGCGUCCGUUGGUCGGCCAAGUCCUCGACCGCCUCCCCUCCUCGGAGUGGGGGCUCGGGGUAAAAGAACCCACGGGGCCGAAGGCGUCAAGGAACACUGUGCCUAACCCGGGGGCAUGGCUAGCUUGCCAGUCGUCCCCCAUGUUGCAAAGCUAUUUAAUCCACACGACUCUCGCCAACGGAUAUCUUGGCUCUC
rnacentral:misc_RNA from 1 species